ACUGAAUAGAUACCCUGGUAGUCCAUGCUGUAAACGAUGAGAACUAGAUGUUAGGGGGCAUGACCUCUUAGUAUCGAAGCUAACGCGAUAAGUUCUCCGCCUGGGGAGUACGGCCGCAAGGUUAAAACUCAAAGAAAUUGACGGGGGCCCGCACAAGCGGUGGAGCAUGUGGUUUAAUUCGAUGCAACGCGAAGAACCUUACCUACCUUUGAAUCCACGGAACCUAGCAGAGAUGUUGGGGUGCCUUCGGGAACCGUGAGACAGGUGCUGCAUGGCUGUCGUCAGCUCGUGUCGUGAGAUGUUGGGUUAAGUCCCGUAACGAGCGCAACCCUUGUCCUUAGUUGCCAUCAGGUUAUGCUGGGCACUUUAAGGAGACUGCCGGUGAUAAACCGGAGGAAGGUGGGGAUGACGUCAAGUCCUCAUGGCCCUUACAGGUAGGGCUACACACGUGCUACAAUGGGCAGUACAGAGGGAAGCCAACCCGCGAGGGGGGCGAAUCUCAUAAAGCUGUUCGUAGUCCGGAUUGGAGUCUGCAACUCGAC
rnacentral:rRNA from 1 species